GUAUUAUACAAUUAUAGCAGAUAACAUGUACACAUUCUACAUAUGUAUGUAUUUCAUUAGACAAAUAUUAACAACUAUAAGCCCGGAAAUUAUGCCGAGAUUGAAUGAAUAAGUCAUUGAAUGUCUAUCGUUAACAAAAAAUGAAGUUGCAGUAUUUGCAACUUCACAGCAAUUAGCGGCAAACUUCACUAAACUUGGAUAAUAAUUGUUCCAAAAUCUUACGAGCCUGUUGCCAUGAUAUUAUUCCUAGUUACCUAUAAGAAGAAAUGUUUUGGAUAUCUGCGGGUACUGCAAUAUUAUAAUUACGUAUGUAUAUAUGUGCAUACAUACGCACAUAUAAAAAUCUUAAUAAAUAUAAAUAUAUAUAUAUAUAUCCAUUUGUGAACAAUUUUCCUAUGACUAAACGAAAGACCGUACUAACUUAAACCUAUACAAAUAUGUUAAAAAAUGUAAUUUUCGAAGAAAUGUCUUUAAAUUAUUUUAAAUGGAGAUAUAUUACAUACAUACUCCAUCUGAAAUGCAUAGUAUAAGUUUCACAAGUUUACAGGAGAGUGAAACGAUAUUAAAUAGAAAAAAUUCGCAAAACAACUCGUGAUACGUUACGGAAUUGAUCCGGAUUUCAUCUGCUCAAGGGCUGUUAUUUCGAUUACUUAAACCUUUCUCGACUGGUGUGUAAUAAUAUAAUAAAUUUGAAUUUUGGUUAUUAAUUGGUUAUAUCUGUUAGCAGAAACUGAACAAUUUUUAUAUAUGUAUACAUACUUUUUAAUAUGAUACCGCAAUCAAUACCAAAAAAAAACUCAAUUUCGGAUUUUUGAUGAUACCUUGUUUUGCAAUUUAGAUGACGACAUAUUGAUCUCUUUAAGUCAGAAACAACUGAAAGUUGACUGCUGUUACGUCCAAAAAGUUUGAUAUAUCUAUAAACGAACCAUCAAAACAAUAAAAUUGAUAACAUAGCAUGCGUAAUGAUAUUUAAAAUACUAA